rnacentral:rRNA from 1 species
AAGUUGUUGAAGUUAAAAAGCUCGUAGUUGGACUUUGGGAUGGGCCGGCCGGUCCGCCUUUGGUGUGCACCGGUCGUCUCGUCCCUUCUGCCGGCGAUGCGCUCUUGGCCUUAACUAGUCGGGUCAUGCCUCCGGUGCUGUUACUUUGAAAAAAAUAGAAUGCUCAAAGCAAGCCUACGCUCUGUAUAUAUUAGCAUGGGAUAACAUUUUAGGAUUUCGGUCCUAUUACGUUGGCCUUUUGGAUCUGACUAAUGACUAACGGGGACAGUCGGGGGCAUUCGUAUUUCAUAGUCAGAGGUGAAAUUCUUGGAUUUAUGAAAGAUGAACAACUGUGAAAGCAUUUUCCAAGGAUGUUUUCAUUAAUCAAGAACGAAAGUUGGGGGCUCGGAGACGAUCAGAUACCUCCUAGUCUCAACCAUAAAUGAUGCCGACCAGGGAUCGGUGGAUGUUGCUUUUAGGACUCCGCCGGCACCUUAUGAGAAAUCAAUGUUUUUGGGUUCCG